rnacentral:rRNA from 1 species
GAUGAACGCUGGCGGCGUGCCUAACACAUGCAAGUCGAACGGAGAUUACGGACGGAAGUUUUCGGAUGGAAGACUGUAAUUCUUAGUGGCGGACGGGUGAGUAACGCGUGGGCAACCUGCCCUAUACAGGGGGAUAGCAGCUGGAAACGGCUGGUAAGACCGCAUAAGUCGGCGAGACCGCAUGGUUUUGCCGGGAAUGAGCAAUCAGGUAUAGGAUGGGCCCGCGUCCGAUUAGCCAGUUGGCAGGGUAAAAGCCUACCAAAGCAACGAUCGGUAGCCGGACUGAGAGGUCGGACGGCCACAUUGGGACUGAGACACGGCCCAAACUCCUACGGGAGGCAGCAGUGGGGGAUAUUGCACAAUGGAGGAAACUCUGAUGCAGCGACGCCGCGUGAGUGAAGAAGUAUUUCGGUAUGUAAAGCUCUAUCAGCAGGGAAGAUGAUGACGGUACCUGACUAAGAAGCCCCGGCUAACUACGUG